rnacentral:rRNA from 1 species
GAUGAACGCUGGCGGCGUGCCUAAUACAUGCAAGUCGAGCGAACGGACGAGAAGCUUGCUUCUCUGAUGUUAGCGGCGGACGGGUGAGUAACACGUGGAUAACCUACCUAUAAGACUGGGAUAACUUCGGGAAACCGGAGCUAAUACCGGAUGAUAUUUUGAACCUCAUGGUUCAGAAGUGAAAGACGGUCUUUCUGUCACUUAUAGAUUGAUCCGCGCUGCAUUAGCUAGUUGGUAAGGUAACGGCUUACCAAGGCAACGAUGCAUAGCCGACCUGAGAGGGUGGUCGGACACACUGGAACUGAGACACGGUCCAGACUCCUACGGGAGGCAGCAGUAGGGAAUCUUCCGCGAUGGGCGAAAGCCUGACGGAGCAACGCCGCGUGAGUGAUGAAGGUCUUCGGCUCGUAAAGCUCUGUUAUUAGGGAAGAACAUAUGUGUAAGUAACUGUGCACAUCUUGACGGUACCUAAUCAGAAAGCCCCGGCUAACUACGUG